GGAAAGCGUAAUUUGGUGGUGUAUUUAGAAUUUGAUAAUUUUUGAAAUUUAUUAAUGGCAAGAAAUUUUGUGGGUGCAACGUGUAGAAAGUCUCAAGAAGCACAGCCACCACUCGUUUGAAUCGACCAAUGCAAGCUGCCAAAUCGAUUCUCACCUUCCUUUCCUUUCCACCCGAAAUAGCCAAAAAUUCUAAUAUGCACUUCCUCUUCCUCCACCGCCACCUACUCCUUUCCUUGCUCCACUCCCUUCCAUGGCCAAGAAUCUACCUGAAUAAUACCUUAUCCAUAGUAUUUCUCUUCAUCUUCACUCCCUUGACUCUCUCUUCUAGACAUGACUUCCUCUUAUUGCCUAUCUUCUACAAGAAAUUCUGUCACUCCGCAAACUGUUUUGCGUAAUUCUCAUUUGUGUCUCUCCAGAAACCGCUUGCAUAGAGAGAGUAAUAUUUUCAAGCCUCACCAACUACCUCUAAAGCAUUUUCUUCCCAUUUUGAGACUCGACAACUCUAAACUCGCUUACCCUUUUGCCAGUAUAUCCUCUUUCGCUGAAGCUGGAGGCGAAGAAGGGCGCAAAGAAGGAAUCCAGAUUGAGAAGCAUCAAGGAACAGUGAAAAACAAUGAAGAUGACUUGCCUGGAAUGGCUCAGGCCUUUCAUAUAUCUUCAAGAACGUCCUUUGCUAUCAGCAUAUGCAUAGCAUUUGCUGCUCUUACUUUUCCCUUCUUUAUGAAGUCUCUGGGACAAGGUUUGGGCUUAAAGACCAAGUUGCUAUCAUAUGCAACGCUGUUAUUUGGGUUCUAUAUGGCUUGGAAUAUAGGGGCCAAUGAUGUGGCUAAUGCCAUGGGGACUUCUGUGGGGUCUGGAGCAUUAAGUCUCCGGCAGGCGGUUGUAACUGCUGCUAUCUUGGAGUUCUCAGGAGCAUUUUUGAUGGGUACCCAUGUGACCAGUACAAUGCAGAAGGGAAUUCUUGUGGCUAAUGUGUUUCAGGGGAAGGAUACUCUGUUGUUUGCUGGCUUGCUCUCUUCUUUGGCUGCUGCUGGUACUUGGUUGCAGGUGCACUUUCUGUUAUGUUUAUUCUUGUUUUGUGAAUUUUAAGAAAUCUGGAUUGCUUUCGGGUGUAUUUAGAAUCAAUUAUUCUCUUUAUAAGCAACGUUAAUGGCUUCUACCUCCCUUUACUUUUAUCUGAAGAAAUUCUUCAUUUCCACUGAUAAGGCCACACAGAACAAAUUCAAACAUAAAUCAGUCUUCGAUGGCUAUUUCUUAUAGUCUUAUAUUUCCAUUUUCUUUGCAAUGUAAUAUUUCAGUUUGCCGCUAAUUUACUUUGAUUGGUUUUGUUUUCUUCUUGCCAGAACAUUAAUUGAUCGUCACUCUAUGCUAACUCACUCCUGAAUUAGAUAUAAGAGAGACAAAAGGGAAGUUUGCAUCAUAUUAUGGUUGGCCUGUUUCUACCACGCACUGUAUAGUAGGAUCAAUGGUUGGAUUUGGUCUUGUCUAUGGAGGAGCUGGUGCUGUCUUCUGGAGUUCACUGGCAAGGGUAACUUCAUCGUGGGUGAUCUCACCGAUAAUGGGAGCAGUAGUGUCAUUCCUUGUCUACAAAUGCAUCCGUAGGGUAUGUUCUUACCAUUUGUUUCAGACUUUUAAGCAUUAAAGCUUAAUACAUACAUUUUGCUUAAAGAAUUGCUUUUAGGUUCCAGAAAAAAAAUCAUAUGCCAUAGGCAUGGUGGAACUAUCUAGGCACCUAAUGCUUGAUCCUCAUGAUCAUAUAUCUACCUCGAUUAACUUUUUAAAACAUCCAUUUCCUGAGUUGUUGGCAUUGAGGCACAUUUCCUAGUUCUCACCAUCCUUACUUUUUCAGUUUGUGUACAGUGCUCCAAAUCCAGGGCAAGCUGCAGCUGCAGCUGCACCAGUUGCUGUCUUUGCGGGUGUAACAGGAAUCUCUUUUGCAGCCUUUCCUCUAAGCAAGACCUUUCCUUUGGCUCUGGCACAGGCUUUAGCCUGUGGUGCCGCUGGUGCAUUCUUAGUCUCAAGAAUCAUCCACAAACAGCUCGGUCAUCUCCUUGCGAAAGCUACUUCAACGCAAUCUGAGCCACAGGAGAGUAGUACUAUCCGUAACAAAAAUAUUGGAUUUCUCUCUGACUUUGCAGGACCGAAGGGUACCCAAUUGGAGUUAGUUUAUGGGGUUUUUGGAUACAUGCAAGUACUCUCAGCCUGCUUCAUGUCAUUUGCCCAUGGUGGAAAUGAUGUAUCCAAUGCAAUAGGUCCUUUGGCUGCUGCACUGUCUAUCAUUCAUGGUGGUGCCAGUGGAGCAGAAAUUGUUAUUCCAACUGAUGUUCUUGCAUGGGGAGGAUUCGGAAUAGUUGCAGGGCUGACCAUGUGGGGUUAUAGAGUGAUAGCAACAAUUGGAAAGAAGAUCACCGAACUUACACCAACUAGAGGAUUUGCAGCCGAGUUUGCUGCAGCUUCUGUGGUUCUAUUUGCGUCGAAGCUGGGUCUACCUAUUUCAGCAACGCACACUUUGGUGGGUGCAGUCAUGGGGGUAGGGUUUGCGAGGGGGCUAAACAGUGUUAGAGCAGGGACUGUGAGAGAGAUUGUGGCUUCAUGGCUUGUGACAAUUCCAGCUGGUGCUGGGUUCUCAGUUGCCUAUACAUGGAUCUUGACCAAGCUUUUGUCUUCCAUAUUUUGAGAGAACAUUUACAUGAUUAAAAUUAAUGAAACCAUUUGAUGUAUGUGAUUAAUCAAAAUCACUCAUCUUUUCUCAAAAGAAUUCAUGGGAUGAUUGCGACUGUUUGAGCUAGAGUGAUUUCCUCGGAGAGGAAUUCACAAUGCAUAUGGAAGUGAGAACAAAAAAUAAAUUAUUUUUUGCAGUGUAUGCGUUUGGAA
rnacentral:misc_RNA from 1 species